CCUGCAGGCGACAAUGGCGACUUCGACCUCGCGGACGCCCUGGACGACGCCGGUGAAUCCACGCCGAGGCCCGGGGGCGGCGGCCUCUACCCGCGGCUGCCCCAGGACCCGCCCCGCGACCCCCACGACCCCGGAC